UCUUCUGAAGUGCAUCCUCCACCUUUCCAAAUUCCACACCCACCAAUAUUUGUAUCAUCACUCACCAUUGCAGAACCUUCUCACUUCUGCCUAUAGCCACGAACAAGUCCUUCCAACAAUCAACUCAUGCAUGCCAUGGUCGCACUUCUGGGUGGCAGAUCUCUUGUUGGUAAGAACAAUGCAACAUCCCAUUCUGAAGAGAAUGUUAGAGACGAGCAUGGGCUCAUAGUUUCCAAAAUACCAGUUCUGCGUGACGUUCUUUGUGUCGAGGACAAUGGCAUAGGUGCCCUAGUUGCUGGCGAGGAAGUAGUCCUUGUCCAGAUCCACCGCGGUCUUGGGAAGUUUUUAAACUUGUAGAAAAUUGCUCAAGGCACAAGAAAGGUAAUCAAUGCUUGCCUUGCAUGCAAAGUCAAGAAGCUUAUUUAUGAAAGCUCUCCAAGCAUUGUCUGUGAUGGAAUCCAUGAAAUCAUAAAUGGGGAUAAAUUCUUACCAUAUUCUGAUAAGGUACAAGGUUUAAGCUACCAAUGCUUAAUUUGAAGGUGGAAAAAUGGUAUGCUUGGCAUUGUAAACCUGUCUUGCUCCAUGUGGAAUAAUAAGAUGUAUGAUAUCAAAGCCUAUGAAACCUUGAAACCCUAUCCAAAUCAUGUCCAAUUCUGGAUCCCCAUUUGUAUAUAAUAAUAGUGUGUCUUCAUUCCUUCUGUGUGGUUAUUUUGCAUGUCCAUUUUUUUUACUAUUUAUGGAAAUGAUU